GACGAACGCUGGCGGCGUGCUUAACACAUGCAAGUCGAACGGGUCUGCCCUGUUUUUUGCGGGGUGGGUCAGUGGCGAACGGGUGAGUAACACGUGAGUAACCUGCCCCUCACUUCUGGAUAACCGCUUGAAAGGGUGGCUAAUACGGGGUGUUCUGGCUGUGCCGCAUGGUGUGGCUGGGAAAGAUUCACUUUUGUGGUGUUUUGGUGGGGGGUGGGCUCGCGGCCUAUCAGCUUGUUGGUGGGGUGAUGGCCUGCCAAGGCUUUGACGGGUAGCCGGCCUGAGAGGGUGGGCGGUCACACUGGGACUGAGAUACGGCCCAGACUCCUGCGGGAGGCAGCAGUGGGGGGUAUUGCACAAUGGGCGGAAGCCUGAUGCAGCGACGUCGCGUGAGGGAUGGAGGCCUUCGGGUUGUGAACCUCUUUCGCCGGUGAAGAAGGUCCUGCUCUUUGUGGUGGGGUUGACGGUAGCCGGGUUAUGAAGCGCCGGCUAACUACGUG
rnacentral:rRNA from 1 species